rnacentral:rRNA from 1 species
GACGAACGCUGGCGGCGUGCCUAAUACAUGCAAGUAGGACGCAGUUGCGAACGGGUGAGUAACGCGUAGGUAACUCCCUACUAGAGGGGGAUAACAAAUGGAAACGAUAGCUAAUACCGCAUACUAGUAGAUGGACCUGCGGUGUAUUAGCUAGUAGGUAGGGUAAUGGCCUACCUAGGCAACGAUACAUAGCCGACCUGAGAGGGUGAGCGGCCACACUGGGACGUAGACACGGCCCAGACGCCUACGGGAGGCAGCAGGAGGGAAUCUUCGGCAAUGGGGGGAAACCUGACCGAGCAACGCCGCGGGAGUGAAGAAGGUUUUCGGAUCGUAAAGCUCUGUUGUUAAGGAAGCGGUACUUAACCAGAAAGGGACGGCUAACUACGUGCCAGCCGCCGCGGUAAUAC